rnacentral:rRNA from 1 species
UGCAAGUCGAACGAGAAACCCGAGCUUGCUCGGGUGGACAGUGGCAGACGGCUUCUUAACGCGUGGGUAUCUACCUAGAGGUUUGGAACAACUAUUGGCCACGAUAGCUAAUACCAAAUAUUCCCUAAGGGGGAAAGAUUUAUCGCCUUUAGAUGAGCCCGCGUCGGAUUAGCUUGUUGGUAGGGUAAAGGCCUACCAAGGCAACGAUCCGUAGCUGGUCUGAGAGGAUGAUCAGCAAGAUUGGGACUGAGACACGGCCCAGACUCCUACGGGAGGCAGCAGUGGGGAAUAUUGCGCAAUGGGGGAAACCCUGACGCAGCGAUGCCGCGUGAGUGAAGAAGGCCUUAGGGUUGUAAAACUCUUUCACCGGUGAAGAUAAUGACGGUAGCCGGAGAAGAAGCCCCGGCUAACUUUUUGCCAGCAGCCGCGGUAAUACGGAGGGGGCUAACGUUGUUCGGAAUUACUGGGCGUAAAGCGCGCGUAGGCGGAUUAGACAGUUGAGGGUGAAAUCCCGGAGCUUAACUCCGGAACUGCCUUCAAUACUACUAAUCUUGAGUUCGGAAGAGGUGAGUGGAAUUCCUAGUGUAGAGGUGAAAUUCGUAGAUAUUAGGAAGAACAUCAGUG